UAUCGGAUGUCAUUAUUCAUUAGCCGGUAGAAUGCUAGGAAACAUUUGAAUAAGGAAUGUGACGCAAAAGGGUAGAAGAACUAGGUUUCAACAAUUAUUGUCAGUUAUAAUCUUACAUAACUGGGAUGGUUGCUUUUGUACUGAUUUCUACUGUUAAUUUUAUUAUUGUUUUUUCUCGCGACUAUUAUUUAUGUAUAUAAUUUAAGAUUAGAAACUAGUGCGAUUUAAUGUUAAUAUUGUCAUCUGCCGACAAGUUGAAAGAUAUGGAAGAUAAGUGUAACUCCGGGGAAUCGCACGGUGCAAAAACCAAAGAACCGGACUUUCUUUUAACAAGCAACACUUACAAAUCUAUUAAAGAAGACAGUUAUUAAACAAGGAAGAAAAAGAAGCUAUAGGCGAAGCGUAUAUACGCACCGAAAGAAUAAAAAAAUGAUGAUGCUGUGACAGAUGAAUAUCUAGAAAGUAGAGCGUCUUUUGUAGGAUCAAGUCUUUCUGUAACAAUUAGAGUAUCUAAGCCUCCAAAAAUUAUCGAUGUUGCCGACGGUUUGACAAACUUGGUUCUUCAAAAACGACUAGUCUACCCUAUGCAGGAUUUACAUGUCAAUCUAUAAUCCUUCUGGAAACACCGUCCGAUUUACGAAGAGAUACGACAAGACUUGCCACAGCCAAAGGUGCAUCAAUCGCUUGUGUAGAUGCCUCUCACAAGAGAAAGACUGGUCAUUUUGGUCAAUCAAGGACCAAUGGGCCAGAUUUUCUUUCACCAA